UACGUAGGGUGCAAGCGUUGUCCGGAAUUAUUGGGCGUAAAGAGCUCGUAGGCGGUCUGUCGCGUCGGCUGUGAAAACCUGAGGCUCAACCUCGGGCCUGCAGUCGAUACGGGCAGACUAGAGUUCGGUAGGGGAGACUGGAAUUCCUGGUGUAGCGGUGGAAUGCGCAGAUAUCAGGAGGAACACCAGUGGCGAAGGCGAUCAUCUGGGGCUGUUCUGACGCUGAGGAGCGAAAGCUAGGGGAGCAAACGGG
rnacentral:rRNA from 1 species